rnacentral:rRNA from 1 species
CACGGAGUUAGCCGGAGCUUAUUCUCCCGGUACUGUCAUUAUCAUCCCGGGUAAAAGAGCUUUACAACCCUAAGGCCUUCAUCACUCACGCGGCAUUGCUGGAUCAGGGUUUCCCCCAUUGUCCAAUAUUCCCCA